rnacentral:rRNA from 1 species
AACGAACGCUGGCGGCAGGCUUAACACAUGCAAGUCGAGCGCACCGCAAGGAGAGCGGCAGACGGGUGAGUGACGCGUGGGAAUAUACCCAUCUCUACGGAAUAACGCAUGGAAAAGUGUGCUAAUACCGUAUACGUCCUUCGGGAGGAAGAUUUAUCGGAGAUGGAUGGGCCCGCGUUGGAUUAGCUAGUUGGUGAGGUAAAGGCCUACCAAGGCGACGAUCCAUAGCUGGUCUGAGAGGAUGAUCAGCCACACUGGGACUGAGACACGGCCCAGACUCCUACGGGAGGCAGCAGUGGGGAAUAUUGGACAAUGGGCGCAAGCCUGAUCCAGCCAUGCCGCGUGAGUGAUGAAGGCCCUAGGGUUGUAAAGCUCUUUCACCGGUGGAGAUAAUGACGGUAACCGGAGAAGAAGCCCCGGCUAACUUCGUGCCAGCAGCCGCAGUAAAAC